rnacentral:misc_RNA from 1 species
CCGGGUCGGCGACUGCCCGAAACCACACCGUGCACCGUCUUUUUAGUGUACAGUCGACGCCUUUGGAGAGGCUCAGCAUGCUCGCCGGGGGAGCUUGCGGGACCGGGAGGCGAAAGCCUACCGGGCCGGCCGAUCGGGGGGCGUCGCCCUUUUAGAACAACGCUGAGAAAAAACUUCAGAAGGGAUUUCGGCGGCCUUCGGGCCCCGCCAAAAACCUAGUCA